rnacentral:rRNA from 1 species
UACGGAGGAUGCGAGCGUUAUCCGGAUUUAUUGGGUUUAAAGGGUGCGCAGGCGGUCUGUUAAGUCAGCGGUCAAAGCCCGGGGCUCAACCCCGGCCCGCCGUUGAAACUGUAGUUCUUGAGUACUGGAGAGGCAGACGGAAUUCCUAGUGUAGCGGUGAAAUGCGUAGAUAUUAGGAGGAACACCAGUGGCGAAGGCGGCCUGCUGGACGAUGACUGACGUUGAGGCUCGAAAGCGUGGGGAGCAAACAGG